rnacentral:rRNA from 1 species
AUGCGAUGGACGGAGAUGCGUCGCGUGAGAACGCGGCCCAGAAGCGAGGCGAAACCGGUGCGACGGGGACGGGACAGCGCGACGGACAAACAAACGUACACGCCCGGAGUUGGAGUCCCCGUCCGCCGGCCCCUCCACACCGCGUGCACCAACCCGGUUCCGCACAAAAGGCGGCACCCCACCCGGCCGGGGCAGAGCAAGAGCAGAGCACACACCAGCAGUCCAUCCAGCCCAGCACCUCGCGCGCGCCAUCAGCUAGCUAGGAUAGGAUUGUCUCCCCGCGCUCACCGCCCGGCUCGCCGAGACCGCGGCGAGCUUUCUCAUCCCGCUCCGUCCACGCCGCGAUCGACACCCUUCCCUUUCCCCCGUCUCCCUCCUGGAAAUUCGGCACGUUCACACCGCCCCUAUAGCUGCCAGUACAAAACAGAGGCCAGCCUUCCUUGCACGGCUACUCUGCUAUCCCCUGCUCUACUCUGCUCUUCCCCUGAGACAGACGGCACACGCCCCGUUCCUUGCCCGACGUCCCGUGGAACGCCGACGCCGGCGCCUGAACCGAGGUCCUCUUGUCCGCGGCAGCUCACCGGAGCACGCGCGAGGCGCCGAGCGAUGAGCUGCCUGGGGUGGCUCAAGAAGAAGAAGGGGUCCGGGAGCGGGAGGCGGGGCACCACGAUGACGACCAUGACCACCACCACCACAACAACAACCACCGGGUCGGCGGUGAGCACGAGCCGGUCGGACGACUCGGGGGCGGGGCGGCCCACCAGCAAGUCCACGGGCUCCGCCUCCUCGCAGCGGAGCAUCUCCUCGCUCUACGAGGAGCGCGGCCACGGCCAGCUGCGGGCCUUCGAGUACGACGAGCUCCAGGCCGCCACCAACGACUUCGGCCGCGCGCAAAAGCUCGGCGAGGGCGGCUUCGGCGGCGUCUACAAGGGCUUCGUCCGCCCGCUCGACCCCCGGGCCGACCGCAUCGCCGUCGCCGUCAAGCGCCUCAACACGCGCGGCCUCCAGGUACGCUCCCCCACCCACCCAUGCCGCCAUGCCGCCAUCCCUCCCUCCAUCUACGAGCGAAUUACGUACAGUAGUUUCCUAUUCUGUUCUGCUCCCCGCGUGAUUCAGUGUCCAAUUAUUUACGCACACCCAGUUUUGUCAGAGUUUUGGGGGCAUCAGAAUGUGACUGAAUCUAAAGAAAUUUCCCCCGGACAAAGAAGCAUCCCACUUAUUUUGAGAAUUUGUUUCCGAUCAUAA